rnacentral:rRNA from 1 species
UGCAAGUCGCACGAGAAAGCCGCAAGGUGAGUAAAGUGGCAGACGGGUGAGUAACACGUGGAUCAUCUACCCUUUGGCGGGGAAUAACCCUGGGAAACCGGGGCUAAUACCGCAUAAGUCCGAGAGGAGAAAGCCGAAAGGCACCGAAGGAAGAGUCCGCGGCCGAUUAGCUAGUUGGCGGGGUAAUGGCCCACCAAGGCGAAGAUCGGUAGCCGGCCUGAGAGGGCACACGGCCACACUGGCACUGAGAUACGGGCCAGACUCCUACGGGAGGCAGCAGUGGGGAAUCUUGCACAAUGGGGGAAACCCUGAUGCAGCGACGCCGCGUGAGUGAUGAAGUCCUUCGGGAUGUAAAGCUCUUUCGACAGGAACGAUAAUGACGGUACCUGGAGAAGAAGCUGCGGCUAACUACGUGCCAGGAGCCGCGGUAAUACGUAGGCAGCAAGCGUUGUUCGGAAUUAUUGGGCGUAAAGAGUAUGUAGGCGGUUCACUAAGUCUGAUGUGAAAUCUCCUGGCUUAACUGGGAGGGUGCGUCGGAUACUGGUGGGCUUGAGUACGGGAGAGGGAAGCGGAAUUCCUGGUGUAGCGGUGAAAUGCGUAGAUAUCAGGAGGAACACCGGUGGUGUAGACGGCUUCCUGGACCGUAACUGACGCUGAGAUACGAAAGCGUGGGUAGCAAACAGGAUUAGAUACCCUGGUA